GGGUUUACCCAUUGGUCAGGCUUAAUUGUCUGUACUGGUGAGAUAAAUCUCUACCUUCUGAGGAACUUUCAUGCCAUUUAUUUGGUGUGAUGGGAAAUCAGGACUGUUACUUUGAAAAAUUAGAGUGUUUAAAGCAGGCUAACGUCUGAAUACAUUAGCAUGGAAUAAUGAAAUAGGACGGACUGAUUCUAUUUCGUUGGUUUCUAGGAUCACCGUAAUGAUUAA
rnacentral:rRNA from 1 species